CGCGUAGGUGGUUUGUUAAGUUGGAUGUGAAAGCCCCGGGCUCAACCUGGGAACUGCAUCCAAAACUGGCAAGCUAGAGUACGGUAGAGGGUGGUGGAAUUUCCUGUGUAGCGGUGAAAUGCGUAGAUAUAGGAAGGAACACCAGUGGCGAAGGCGACCACCUGGGCUAAUACUGACACUGAGGUGCGAAAGCGUGGGGAGCAACA
rnacentral:rRNA from 1 species